rnacentral:pre_miRNA from 1 species
AGAACGCACAUUAAUUAUCCCUAGGGCCAUGAGAUGAACAAAAACCCCGCAAAAACAAGUUAGCACACCCUAGAAUGGUUCGAACACAAUUACUAACCUAUGGCUCUAAUACCAGUUGAUGGAAAAAAACU